UACGUAGGGGGCAAGCGUUGUCCGGAAUCAUUGGGCGUAAAGAGCGUGUAGGCGGCCUGGUAAGUCCGCUGUGAAAAGUCCAGGGCUCAACCCUGGAAUGCCGGUGGAAACUGUCAGGCUCGAGUCCGGAAGAGGCGAGUGGAAUUCCUGGUGUAGCGGUGAAAUGCGCAGAUAUCAGGAGGAACACCAAUGGCGAAGGCAGCUCGCUGGGACGGUACUGACGCUGAGACGCGAAAGCGUGGGGAGCAAACAGG
rnacentral:rRNA from 1 species